UGUGAAGAAAAAGAUUAACUUUCAUGAAAAUGCACCCUUGUUUACAAAGCGCGCAGAAUGCUGGCUCCGCAUGGGGCAGAGCAAGUUCCUGUCCACCUGACAUGCCUGAGUGCACUGUGAAGAAAAAGAUUAACUUUCAUGAAAAUGCACCCUUGUUUACAAAGCGCGCAGAAUGCUGGCUCCGCAUGGGGCAGAGCAAGUUCCUGUCCACCUGACAUGCCUGAGUGCACUGUGAAGAAAAAGAUUAACUUUCAUGAAAAUGCACCCUUGUUUACAAAGCGCGCAGAAUGCUGGCUCCGCAUGGGGCAGAGCAAGUUCCUGUCCACCUGACAUGCCUGAGUGCACUGUGAAGAAAAAGAUUAACUUUCAUGAAAAUGCACCCUUGUUUACAAAGCGCGCAGGAUGCUGGCUCCAGAUGGGGUAGAGCAAGAUCCUGUCCACCUACCAUGCCUGAGUGCACUGUGAAGAAAAAGAUUAACUUUCAUGAAAACGCAC